rnacentral:rRNA from 1 species
UACGGAGGGGGUUAGCGUUGUUCGGAAUGACUGGGCGUAAAGCGCGCGUAGGUGGUUCGAUAAGUCGGGUGUGAAACCUCCAGGCUCAACCUGGAGACGCCACCCGAUACUGUCGUGACUAGAGUCCAGUAGGGGAGCGUGGAAUUCCUGGUGUAGCGGUGAAAUGCGCAGAUAUCAGGAGGAACACCAGCGGCGAAGGCGGCGCUCUGGGCUGGCACUGACACUGAGGAGCGAAAGCGUGGGGAGCGAACAGG